rnacentral:lncRNA from 1 species
UUUAUCUUAGUCAUCUAACUGCCACAGCCGGUUUCACCAUACUUUGACCUGGCUGCAGUUUCUGGAAUAAACCGCCCAGUUGCGAUUCCUGGAAACUGCUCAGUUGCAAUUCCUGAAAAACUUGGUUUUUGGUUAAUCUAUUCUUCGGCAAAGGAAGGCUAUCUUCAGAGUUUAAAGCAAACAAAGAAAAAUCCGGACACUUUUUGCACAGAAGCUCUUAUACUUCUCCCCGUCACCCAC